CUAAAUCCUGGGAAGGUAAGCCCCCCGGGGGGGAGGGGUUUAUAGUAGCGCUUCCAUUUCCCCGAGGGAGAUCCGCUCCAUUCCCUGCCACAGUUUGGAAGGGGGAGGGUUCAGCACCCCUGGAAACAGAGAAAAAAUGUUCAAAAAAUCAGAAAAACCUAAGAAAUGUUCAAAAAUUGAGAAAAAAACGAAAAAAUCAGAAAAAUUGAGGAAAAAAUUCGGGGAAAACGAGUACAUAGCAACAUGUUACAUGAUCUACAUUAACACCAAAAAGUCAUGAAAUAUUUGAGUAAG
rnacentral:lncRNA from 1 species